AUGGCAGUGUCUGCUGCUCAUCAAAGGCAGUGGUUCAGUCAAGCACUCAGUCAGGACUUUCCCACUGCACAGACUGAGGGGGAUCCAGUCUUCCCCACACUGCAAGAUUCUGGUGCAAAGCUGUUUUGCAUUUUCCACAGUAGCCCGGGUAGAAACUUGUUUGCAGUUAACCCAUGCAGGAUCUGCACUCCUGAGCAUCAGCAUGGAAAUCUUCAGGGUAACAACUCCCAGUUCCACCAGCCAGCCUCAGGAAUAGAAAUAGUGGUGUUUCCAGUUCUGGAGUGCAGAGAGAGGAAAGAAAUUGCUGUAUUCAUGGAAAAUAUUCAGCAGAAGAGUGAAAGCUCCUGCUUGGAAAUGCAGGUGAGGUCCUCAUGAGAGCUGUCCUUUGAGAACCACAGAACAGCUAACCUGCUCUUGUCAAUAUUAACAUGGUCAGUUUUAGUAAACAAAGUAGGCUUUCAUCUGCAGUGAGAUCUCAACUAAAAUGCUCUUGCAUUUACUCAGCAUACUCAGCAGUAUUUGGAACCUCACAGUUGGUUCAGUGCUGGGACAGGAUACUUUCCUCCCCGGGAAUUGCUUCACAAUGCCUCAUUUACUCAGGUUUACUGGGAUGAUGCCUUGGGGUGGCUCCCUAGAACAGAGGCCAGACAAGAUUAAGAGAAUAAAGUGGGUACUUAUUAAAUGCCUUCA
rnacentral:lncRNA from 1 species